GGGUGCAUAGCUCAGCGGCAGAGCGUUCCGUUCACAUCGGAAAGGUCGAAGGUUCAAAUCCUUCUGCACCCA
rnacentral:tRNA from 1 species